rnacentral:rRNA from 1 species
AAUGACCGCGGAUCAGGUGAGGA